CCACCCCCGGGGAGCCUCAUCCUGUAGUUGAAGAGCGGCUUCCGGCUCGGCAGCCAAUCCACGGGUGCGUGUCGCCAUAUACGCGUAGGGGGCGCGCCGGUGGCCGAGUUGCUGGCUUUUGAACCCGUUUCCGGAGAGUGUGCGGGCGCCAUGUCCGGCCGCGAAGGUGGCAAGAAGAAGCCCUUGAAACAGCCCAAGAAACAGACCAAGGAGAUGGACGAGGAAGAUAGAGCGUUCAAACAGAAGCAAAAAGAGGAGCAGAAGAAACUCGAGGAGCUAAAAACGAAGGCUGCGGGAAGGGGUCCACUGGCUACAGGUGGAAUUAAGAAAUCUGGCAAAAAAUAAAUUGUUCCUUGUGCCUAAGAUGAUGGUGACCCUUGAUUCCAUUCCUAUUCAAAUACCUGGAUUCCCUGCCAUAACAUCUUUUGACACCUAGGACUAGAAUGAAGUGUCUUCUUGGAGUCUGCUGUACAUUUAACAAUAAAGUUUUGUAAAAAAAAUAAAUAAAAAAUCAUACAGUG